rnacentral:rRNA from 1 species
UACGAAGGGGGCUAGCGUUGCUCGGAAUCACUGGGCGUAAAGCGCACGUAGGCGGAUUGUUAAGUCAGGGGUGAAAUCCUGGAGCUCAACUCCAGAACUGCCUUUGAUACUGGCGAUCUCGAGUCCGGGAGAGGUGAGUGGAACUGCGAGUGUAGAGGUGAAAUUCGUAGAUAUUCGCAAGAACACCAGUGGCGAAGGCGGCUCACUGGCCCGGUACUGACGCUGAGGUGCGAAAGCGUGGGGAGCAAACAGGAUUAGAAACCCC